UGCACUGCAGGGAGAUGCAGUAUAAGACAUGGACUCCAGUGCAUGGAUCUGUCAUGGUGCUGGAUCUAAAGUAGAGCCAUAUGGAGAGUGCCAGCCCAUUAGCUGGAGCACAAGGAGGUCAGCCAUGACAUUCUGAUGGAUGAGCAUGCAUGCACAGAUCAGGGGCUGUGCUCUACUCUCUGCUCAGAGACCGAGCUCACCUGUCACCAUUCACCCUCAGACUCCCUCCCUGCAGCCACUCAAACCUUUUGACCAGCCAUCCUUUGGCACGCUCAGUGGCCACACUCCACCCACCUCAUCAUCGCCAUCCUGUGAUUUCAGAGAUUAUACAUCUGACGCUCGCUUAGUUCCAGACUGUCUCUCUGUGUCCGACAUGUGUGAGAGCCCAGCGGACUGUGCUCUGCAUCCAGAUGAUUUCGGCCUUCUGUUGCAGCCACAAGAGGGCAGCGUUGUCCAACUGCAUCAUGAUGCUCCUGACUUAUCCACACAUACCAGUGUUUUUAAUCCCAGCCAGUCUCCCACAUCCCUAGAGCCUAACCAGUAUAGCGAAAGUGAGCAGGUGGAGAUCAGUAUUCUGGCCCAGCAGAUCUCCUCGCUGGCCAGCAGGUUUGACCGGCAUCACACUGUGAAUCCCUAUCAGCAUGUGGUCCAAACUACAGCCACCAACACGAUGCCCUCAGCCUGUGACUGGCCCCCUAAUUCUCCUCCCCCCUCAGUUCGUCUUCCCAAUCCUGCACUGGUUCUUGAUGUUGCCAUGUUUGACAGCUUCAUGAAAGAUCUGAACAUGUUCACAAGAAAAAGCAGCACAUUGAGCGAUACCAACUACCAGCAGGGCUUAGUGUGCAGCAGGAACGGGCACCAUCCCCAUCAGGAGCAGCAGGAGCACAUUGGCUUCAUUGCAGAGGAGCUGCUGGCUGCAGAGCACUUCACCGUGGGCAGCAUCGCCAUAGAUCCCAUCAGUAUGCAGCUGGGACGCCAUGAUCAAACCACUGGGUUGCUUCAACAUCAUCUCUACUAAACAGUCCACCCUAAUGAGAUGGCACAUGACAGUUGUCGGGUACAGAUGGUGCUGAGACUCCAGUUCGUGGAUCUGUCAUGGUGCCGGAUCUAUAGUGGAGACAAAGAGUGAGUGACAGAUCAGCUGCCUUGCAUGGCUUCACCCUCAUCACCAGCACACAGGGCACGCUGGUCUGUGCUUGAGAAAGUGUAGCUGAAUAUCUCGGGCUUUCCACGGUGUAUGUACUGCGAGGAGACACGUGAUGACAUGGUGGGAUGUUCUGAUACUGAGAUUGUUAAAUCAAACCUGGACAUCGAAAGCAACAUAUUAUCAGAGCGGAGUUUUAUAUGUUGCAUGAAAUCCUCCAAGACCUUUAAGUUGGAACAUGGCAGCUGCUCCUCUACACUGGUCAGAGUUGAGGGAAGAUCUGGAAGCUUCCUCUGUGUGUCCUCCCUUACCAUCACCACCACUGAGCCACUGUUUGUCACUGUCUGCACCCCAGCAGUGAACUGCCUGAGGAGCACGGACUCUCAUGGACUGGAUAUGAGCUUUAUGAAGCUGUCAGUUAGCGUGUCUCCUUUGUUGGGGUAUUCAGCAGAGGA